rnacentral:rRNA from 1 species
UACGUAGGGUGCGAGCGUUAAUCGGAAUUACUGGGCGUAAAGCGUGCGCAGGCGGUUUUGUAAGCCGGAUGUGAAAUCCCCGGGCUUAACCUGGGAAUGGCAUUCGGGACUGCAAGGCUGGAGUGCGGCAGAGGGAGACUGGAAUUCCUGGUGUAGCAGUGAAAUGCGUAGAUAUCAAGAGGAACACCUGCGGCGAAGGCGGGUUGCUGGGCCGACACUGACGCUGAAGCGCGAAAGCCAGGGGAGCGAACGGG